GCCAGGCGUGGUGAUGCACACCUGUAAUCCUAGCUACUUGGGAGGCUGAGGCAGGAGAAUUGCUUGAACCCAGGAGGCAGAGGUUGCAGUGAGCUGAGAUCAUACCACUGCACUCCAGCCUGGGUGACAGAGUAAGACUCUGUCUCCA
ensembl:misc_RNA Metazoa_SRP Metazoan signal recognition particle RNA